ensembl:rRNA 5S_rRNA 5S ribosomal RNA
GUCUUCAGCCAUAUCAACUUGAAUGUGCACUAUCUUGUCUGAUCUCGGAAGCUAAGCAGGAUCGGGCCUGGUUAUACUUGGAUGGGAGAGAAUAGGUGUAUAAAUACC